UACAGAGACUGCAAGCGUUAUUCGGAUUCACUGGGCGUAAAGGGUGCGCAGGCGGUUCGUUGUGUCGGCGGUGAAAGCCCCGGGCUUAACCUGGGAAUGGCCGUCGAAACUGGCGAACUGGAGUGUGGCAGAGGGGGGUGGAAUUCCGGCGUGUAGCAGUGAAAUGCCGUAGAGAUGCGGGAGGAACACCGAUGGCGAAGGCAGCCCCCUGGGCUGACACUGACGCUCAGGCACGAAAGCGUGGGGAGCAAACAGG
rnacentral:rRNA from 1 species